UACGGAGGGAGCGAGCGUUGUCCGAAGUUACUGGGCGUAAAGCGUGCGUAGACGGCUAUCUAAGUCGGGUGUGAAAGCCCCGGGCUCAACCUGGGAAUUGCAUUCGAGACUGAAUAGCUAGGGUACGGUAGAGGGAAGUGGAAUUUCCGGUGUAGCGGUGAAAUGCGCAGAUAUCAGGAGGAACACCGGUGGCGAAGGCGGAUCUCUGGGCCAUUACUGACGCUGAGGAGCGAAAGCGUGGGGAGCGAACAGG
rnacentral:rRNA from 1 species